rnacentral:rRNA from 1 species
UACAGAGGGUGCGAGCGUUAAUCGGAAUUACUGGGCGUAAAGGGCGCGUAGGCGGUUCUAUAAGUUGGAUGUGAAAUCCCUGGGCUUAACCUAGGAACUGCAUCCAAGACUGUAAGACUAGAGUGCUGUAGAGGGUAGUGGAAUUUCCGGUGUAGCGGUGAAAUGCGUAGAUAUCGGAAGGAACACCAGUGGCGAAGGCGGCUACCUGGACAGACACUGACGCUGAGGCGCGAGAGCGUGGGGAGCAAACAGG